ACACAUGCAAGUCGAGCGAGAACAGGGCUUGCCCGUGGGGACAGCGGCGAACGGGUGCGUAACACGGUGAGCAACUGCCCCAAAGACCGGGACAACCCGAGGAAACUCGGACUAAUACCGGAUGCCCUCACCGGGUCGCAUGGUCUGGUGAGGAAAUGGAUUCCGCUUUGGGAUGGGCUCGCGGUCUAUCAGCUUGUUGGUGGGGUAACGGCCUACCAAGGCGACGACGGAUAGCUGGUCUGAGAGGACGAUCAGCCACACUGGGACUGAGACACGGCCCAGACUCCUACGGGAGGCAGCAGUGGGGAAUCUUGCGCAAUGGGGGAAACCCUGACGCAGCGACGCCGCGUGCGGGAUGAAGGCCUUCGGGUUGUAAACCGUUUUCAGCAGGGACGAAAUUGACGGUACCUGCAGAAGAAGCCCCGGUUAACUCUGUGCCAGCAGCCGGGUAAUACAGGGGGGGCAAAGCGUUGUUCGGAAUUACUGGGCGUAAAGGGCUUGUAGGUGGGCCAAAUUAAGUCCAAGACGUUGAAAUCCCUCAGUUUAACUUGGGGGGAAACUUGGGGUCUGGAUAACUGGAUUGGUUGAAGUUUGGGGAAAAGGGAAUUGCGGAAAUUCCCAGGUGGUAACCGGGUGAAAAU
rnacentral:rRNA from 1 species